rnacentral:rRNA from 2 species
GCGAGUGAAGCGGCAAAAGCUCAAAUUUGAAAUCUGGCGGGGGCGACCCUGCCCGAGUUGUAAUUUGAAGAACGGUUCUUGGAGAGGCGCCUUGUCUAUGUUCCUUGGAACAGGACGUCGCAGAGGGUGAGAAUCCCGUAUGGCGAGGCGUGCCGAUCCGUGUGAGGGCCGUUCGACGAGUCGAGUUGUUUGGGAAUGCAGCUCUAAGUGGGUGGUAAAUUCCAUCUAAAGCUAAAUAUUGGCGAGAGACCGAUAGCGAACAAGUACAGUGAUGGAAAGAUGAAAAGAACUUUGAAAAGAGAGUGAAAAAGUACGUGAAAUUGUUGAAAGGGAAGGUUAUUAGAUCAGACUUGGCGCGGUUGCCAUACUGCGGCUCUUGUGGCUGCGGCUACUGGCGGCGCGCUGGGCCAGCAUCGGUUGGCGCGGCAGGAGAACGCUGGGGGAACGUGGCUGGCCCUCGGGCCAGUGUUUAUAGCCCCCGUGCAAUGCUGCCUGCGCGGACCGAGGACUGCGGCGAUUUAUUGCCUAGGAUGCUGGCGUAAUGAUCUAAUAUCGCCC